GCACUUUGCCCUAGUCUUCUGCUUACUCUUUUGGUCUUUUUUUUUUCUAACUUUUCUUUCCAUUCCAUUUUUUCCUGGAAAUCUCACCAGCAAUCCACCCCAGGUGUCUGUAUGUCAGCAGCAUCUACUCCACACUAAUUUUAUAGCCAUGAUCCUCUCGUUACUGUCUGGUCUCCUUCGCCCUGGCAUGAAGGCUGGAUCCCUGGCCUUCCUGCAAAAAUCAGGCACUGCCAUGCCAACUGCCCCCUACCAGGGAGCACUCCUCCCAUAGGAUCUUACUGGAGUGCCUUACCUUAGGUUCUGUUAAACAGGAUGAAUUCAAGUCUUGCUGGACACCAUGUUAUUUUCCCAUCGUAGCUUCUCUUCCUCCCUAAUAACAUGCCACAAUCCUAUGAGAAAAGCCUCCCAAAACGCAUGGUACAUUUUAUUACCAUCCACAAGCCAUUGUUUGGCAGUCCAGCCAAAGGCAUAGUUUGGGUAGUUGCUAUUCUCCCAGGGCAGUGAGGUUUGCUGUGUUCCUCUGUAGCUACUCAUUUACCUGAAGGGCAUCCAGAACCUGUAUCUGACCCAGGUAAGUUCUGCUCUAAUCUGCUCUAAUUACAGCCCCUCUUGGGCUGCCUUCUUCACUUCUGACUGCUCAUGAAAUUAUUACAGCUGGGGGAAAGUCACUGUUAUAAAAAAGCACGUACAAUUCACAAUGUUCUUUCUAGUUAUGACAAGCUUGCCCCAUCUUACAUUGCUCCACCAAGCUCCCAGCUAUGACAAGACACUUCCCUCUCUUAUUCUUUUCAGAGCUACGCUGGGAAUCUGCAGAGCUGCUGGGUAAGCGGCAGCAUAAGACGUUCAGCCAUCACUAGGCAAAAAGCCUGCAAUGCUCUGCAGUAGGGAAACCAUUCAGUUUGUCUGGUGGCACCCCUGAACACAGAGAAGCUGCACAUACAGCACAGGAAAACUUGUUACGAACAGCAGUGUUUAAAGGUCAGUAAUUCCGGAUUCUUUUCCCUGUCACUCCUUCCUACCCUGUAUCACCAACUUCCCCAGAGCUGCCCUCUCUCUCUGCCUUUCCUUCUUCUCUUAUGUGCAGUCCAGAAAAAGACAUCGGACUGUCAACCAAGAGUUAGUUCAGUGUAAAUUGAUCCUCCAGGCUAGGUCAGAUCAUAAGUGUUUCCUGAAAACAGUUUUUAUUGGCUUGUAAAAUAAUCAUUUGGCUCGUUCUGUUCCCAGUGGCAGGUGCAUCUAUGAGCAGCAUGAAAAGAUUCCAAGGUCAGGAUGUGAUACUGCUUCUUCUCUUCUCCUCUUCACAUGGAAAGGGGCCAAAAGAUCCUGUGCAUUCUUAGCUAUAAUCUCUUCAAAUAUCUAAUUAGAAAUUAUGUAGAAAAUUGUCUUUUUUUUUUUUUUUUUUUUUUGAAGGUGCACCACGAAAGAGCAAGGAGCGUCAGAACAAGUUGUAGCAAGAAAAAAUAUGAUUAGAUAUAAGGAGACAUUUUUUCACAAUGAGGGUGGUCAAACACCUGAACACACUGUCCAGAGAUUGUGUAACAUCCAGCCAUGGAGAUCUUCACAGCUCAGCUGGACAAAGCCCUGAGAAACUUGUUCUAGCUCUGAAGCUGGGUUUAAUAUAAAGAUUGGCCACACUUUGAGCAAAGGUUGGACCAAAUGACCUUCAGAGGUCCAUUGUAAUGCCGAGGGUGUGACCAGGUGACCUCCAGAGGUGCCUUCUCACCUAAAUUACCAUGUGAGUUACGAAUCUGUAAUUGCAGGAGCCAGUUGCACUUCCCUAUGUUACAGUGCCCUAUGCAGCACCCUGCAGCAACUUUGAAAUCUUCUCUUCCAGUGCAUGCUGUCUGUCUUGGAUCACUUGUGGUGCCUCACAGAGGAGCCCAGGUGACUCCCAGUGAAGUGGAAGCUGAAGAGACUGCUCCGACAGUCUCCUUUGCACACCCUCCACCACCUGGACAGCUCUGAGCAGGGAGUGAUGGACCCUGGGUUCACAGCACAUCCUGCACAGGGAAGCACCAGGUGGAUGUGCUGCCCAUGCAGGGAUGCUCUUCAAACAUCUCACGGUAUCAUCCAGUCACGCAUUCCCCUGGCUGACCAUGCUCCCUACAGCAGUAGGAUGCCUGCUAGAAAGAAGGAUGCCAGCAACACAGUUUGAGCAGUGCAGGACAAGUUGUUCUGUGAAUGCAUCUGUGGAGUUGGCCAGCUGCGUGCCUGCGGGUGUCAGGGAUUCCCCUUGCUUGCCGAUGGCCUGUUUGCACACUCACACUCUGGCUUGCCUUUAGGCAAAGGCUAACAGCCCUGUAAUCAUCUGCUAGCUAAGUCGAAAAUCCCUCUAGGGUUAUUCUUUGCUGCUGACUAAAUCAUUUCUCUUCUUUACUCCUCCAACUCUUCAAAAAGGAGCCAGAUCACCCUCAAGUGGGAUAAUAGCCUCCAUCCCAGCGUGCUCAGAUUUUGAAACCCCUCAGGGUCAGCUUUUGCUUAGGCUGCCACGCUGCAGAAAGAAAUUGCUGCCCAGUCCUCAGGGACUAGUGUCUCCUGAACACAUGCUUCCAGCAACAGUAGUAAAAGAGCCAGGAGAGACAGGGAGCAGUAGAAUUUUGAGAGGCGUCUUUGGAGUAGAAAGCAGCUGCCAUUUGGCGUUUGGACAUGGACCAUUCCAUGCAGAUAAAUACCUGUGUAUAUAUUCAUACAUAACGUGCCAUUUCCCAGCCAUCAACAUGCAGUACGCUUCCCCAUCGCACCCAACAUCCUCCUGGGAACUGUGUGCACCACUGAGCAAGCAGCACAGCCCUGAAUGAACGCACAUUGGCAACUGGUAGGGGAGAAGAAACACCUGGCUGGCUUCCUCCACAGAAAUGGCCAUUCAGUCACUGAUAUUGCAGUCUGAUCCCCAGGGGGUUUAUAAAACACCUGCAAAGGAUGAACUGGGAGCUAGAGUUCACAGUCCCUGCGGACGGUAAAGCUCAUUAACUCAGUAAAUACACUGUCUUAUUACAAGGUACUGCUUAUCACUGCUUCUCAGCCCUUAUCCUUUCACAGGUUAAAGGCAGAAGUCUUUUCAACCUUUUUCUCAAAUUGCCCAUCUGACUGCCAAAACUAAAUUGAACUCAAAACAUUUGUUCUCAGACAGCGCUUAGCAAGUUUGCUGUAUGUCUUUCAAAACUGAAAAGGAGGCUUUUGUGCCUGAAAGUUUUCCUAUUUUUUUUAAAUGAUAUCAUUCGAUUAAAAGAAAUUGCCCCUGUCUACAAGCCUUACCUGUUUCAUAGCCCUUAGACACUGGUGGUUGUGGCAGUGCCAGUGCUGCACCACGGAGAAGCUGUGCUGGCCAGAGGAGCCAGUGGGACUCAUUUGCUGAAGAGAGCUUAGACCAGAAAGUGAAGGAAACACUAAAAUUCACAACAAAGGCCAAAAUGGCAACACUGCAAGAGACACAGGCACACAGGGACAAGAUAGAAGAUGAGUGGGACAAGGGAACUCUGUGCAUAUCACAUAAAUUGGGAAAAAAUAUAUACUCUGUGGCAGGACAUGCUUCAGAAACAAAGGCCCUUAGCCUUUUCCAUCCAGCUCUCCCACAGCUCCACCAACUAUCAUGGGAAAAAGGAUGGCACAAAUGGCCAAGAAGAAGGAAAUACUCUCUUGGACCCCGUGAGGAUGGAGAAUUAAAAAGAGCAUCUGGAAGUGCUGCUACAAGAGAUCUGCAGUACCAUUGCAGGGCCCAGGUGUGACAAACGAGCCAGCUGGAUCGUUGGUGCCAUGGGCUGCAAACUAUUUAGACGUGCAGAGAUAGGAGCAGGGAUGAUGCUUCCCAUUCAGAGCUUUUCCAUACACCACGGAAUACCAGCAGAUAGUAAUGGGAAGCGUAAUGGUGAGAGUUAGAUGAGUAGAUAGACAUAAUGAAGCGGGAGAAAAAUUAUUGUUGGUGUCUGCUGUAAGCAUGAACAGCUCGAGAAAGAAAUCAAUAAAUUCCCACCUAAAUUCCACCAUCCAUAAUGCUGAUGGCAAGGUCCCAGUGCUUGGUAGCCAUGGAGGAUUUUAGUUACAGUUCCCCCAUAUCUACUGGGAAAUGCACAAUGCUAAACACCGGCCAGCAGGGACUUUCUCAAAGGGUUUCAAUGGCAUUUUCUGACUCAAAGCGCUGGAGAGACGUGUUAGGCUGCUAGCUCAGUAAACCAGUAAUGGGAUAGGGAGCCUUUCACCACGGGGUCACCUUCUAGUGACCCAUGGUUAUUACCAGCUCAUUGCUGCUGCCUGUGUGAAAUGAGGUGAGGAGCUUGGACCACUUCCUCGUGGCCAAGCGCCUCCGUUGCACAAAACCCACAGCUGCAAUUGGUGCUAAUUGGCCCCCCUGCUCGAGAGCCUCCGCGGAAGGCUGGGGCACCCCGGCUCCCUGCUCCCGGGGGGCUAUGUCCCGAGGGCUAUGUCCCAGCACCGCCAGCCCCACAUCCCUGGGGAGGUGUCAGCUCAGCACCCCGGGAUGCUUCAGCCCAGCACCCCCGAGGCUGGAGCAGGGAUGGUUGGGUGGGCUGGAGCUACGCCAGGGUCCUUUCCUCUUGGGGGAGGAAGGCUUUUGGGGAGGAGGGCGAUUCCUCCGGGCCGGGGAGGAUUAGGAAGGGCCGUCUCCUUUAAGAAAGGGAGAAGCCCCCCUUUCAGCAGGCUCUCCCAGCUGACGCACAAUGGCAUGCCACCUCCUUGCCGGCACAGAAAUGAUAAUCAGAGGUUCAGCAAACAGGAGAGAAAGAGAGCUGCUCCCUGCCCUCCGCCCCCCCAUCGCAUGACUGGUGUCACACGAGAUGAGGUGGCAGAUGGGUCGUGCGGGCCGCAAUGCCUUCUUUAACCCCUUCCUCCCCCUGCCAGCCCGCUCCCAGAGGGGUGUGGAGGGAGCCCUGGUCCGGAGGCUGGUUGUGCAGGGAGGGCCGUGCUGUCUCAUGGCAGUGUCACGCCAGGUUUUGUUCAAAAGAUCCUAUCUGCGUCUGCACCGGGGUGUUUGGAUCCGUCCCGGCGCAGCCAGCAGCUCUUCCAGGCUCCUGCCCCGGCCGGGGGAGGUGGGUACAAAAGGGAUGCGGGGAGUGGGCACAUCACAGGGGGAAGGCAAAACCAGCAUCCUGCCCCACAGCCCCAUCUGCUUCAUUUUAUGGGUGUUAGUGACACAGAUUGACGGGGGAAAGCUCCCCGUGUCCCCUCCACCUUGGCACCAGUGUUCGCUUGGCCAGGUAAACCUCUUUGACACAAACCCUUCACGGUGGUCCUGGUGAAGGGGCAAGGUUUGCAUGACUCCUGAGGGUGUUUUGCUCCCCAGUUUCUUCCAGGAUGGCAGCAGGAAUGGCUGCAGGAUGGUGCACCCACCCAGUACCUGCCUGUCUUUGGUGGCUUCUUUUUUCCAGCUGGGAUAUGCACCGUCAAAAAGGAACAGCGUGGAAAGCUGAGCUGUGCUCUGCUCCUGAUUACAUUUCUUCGGUCCUGGCUUGCAGGGACCUGGAGUUAUGCCACUGUUUAUGACCAGCCUUUAUUACUGUUAGAAAUAAUAGUUCCUGGCACAAAGGUUAAGGAGGAUUUGGGGCAUCUUCAAUGAAUUCUGCGGCAUUUCUAGCAUUCUUUGGGAGUGCAGUAUUGUUGUUCUGUUGUGUCACGCUUAUUAUGUGCGUGCUGCUUGUACUUGAUCCCUCUGGCACAUUUUAAAAGGCAACGCCACGCAAAGGGACGCCACUCAGAAGGAGGCCAUGUGUGCUCUGUUAACACAGCCAGCACUUUGCUUUGGGAGGUGCAUGCAGUACAUCACCGUGAGCCAUGUUUUCACAAUGCCACUGCCAUCCAGAAGUGCACAGCUUCGCUGCUGCUUUUGGUCCUGCCUUGCAGCCUCACCAUGAGCCCAGACUUAGCCCCCAGCUCUGUCCUGCUCCUUGCUCCUGCCCUGCAGCCCCUGUUGAGCCCCAAUUCCAGCUCUGCCAAAGCACAUUUCUCUCGAUGGCUGAAAUUUUGUUCAAGGGCAAAUUCUUAAUCUUUAUCGAAUCAGUGCGCCACAGUGGCCCUGUCUCUGGUGUCAUCUUCAGCAAGAAAUCCCCAGUUGACACCGAACAAACAAUCCAGGACUCAGAGGCAGCCUCUGGGCAUACAAGAUGUGUGCUUUCUUUCCUCCUCUACUUCCAGAUGUGCCUGGAAUCACAGCCGGAGUUGGGCUUGGCUGCUUCGACCCGCCAGUGGUGCCACGGGGCGUGGGGCCAGGCUGGGAGACGGGGUGAGGAGCAAAGCUGGGUGCGUGAGGUGGCUUUCCCUGCCCCAGCUGGUCACAGGUUCUGUUGGUGGCAAUGCCAAAAAGCCUUGCUAUUGUUUUCUGGUGACAAAAAGAGCCCGCGAAACAGAUGUGCGGGGAGACGGGCCGUGCGCUAACGCAGCUCGCUCCGUGUGUUGGAGCCGAUGAGCACCGCUCGCUGUCUCCCGCCCUCCUCCCUGCCCUGCCCUACAUGUGUUUUGAAGGACAAUUACAUCUGUAUUUUACAAAGUACACUGCUCACAAGAGGAGAGGAAGCCACUGCGCUCCCCGCCCCCACUCGUCCAGGCCCCCCGUGCAUGCAGUCUGCUCGCCUGUGGUUUCCUCCAAGCGAUGGAGCCCAUCUGCUAGCAGUUAGCUACCCGGAGCUUGUCCCGUGCUAACCCCGCUACGGUGCUGACUGGUACCAGCACCGGGUGCUGGUGGUGGGGCCAGGCUCUGUGUGCUCCUGUGGGCAGGCAGGGGAUGCUACCUGCACCCUGGGGCUGGAGAAAGCAGGGAGCUAAGUGCGUACUGCUCCCCGCUGCUGUAAUUGAAGACAGCAGUCCCUGCGCUGGCCACAAAGUCAUCCUCAUCCUCUCCCUGUGACAUCACGGUGUGUCACUGUGGAAGCGAUGAUGACAUCCCAGCAUUGCCCCAACAGCAUAUGGAAGGGCAGGCAAGGAGCUGGAGGCGGCUAUGUGGUGCGGGUCCCACGAGGUUCCCCGGAGCUGCAGCCCUGGGCUUGACAGCUCAGACCACCUUUGUGUGUAAUUCCCUCCUCUCCCCUGGAGACCUGCCUGGAUGUUGUGUCUGCCCAAAUCACGGCCUCCUCAGGGCAGCCCCAUCAGCUGGAAAGGGCUCUUAGCCACGUGCUGCGGACACGUGGACCAGGGCGGCAGGAGCUGAUGUGCAUCAGAGAGGCCGUGGCGAGUCUGGCUGACCAGGCAAUAUAUCUGGUAGACAGCCCAGAGGAAGGAGCCCAGAGAUAGUGUGCAGCCCCUCCCAAGCGCCUUUCUGUCUGGGAGGAACCGGAGAUCCAAACAUCCAGUCUGGCACACCGAAUGACACACAGCUAUCGGCUGUGGUAUGAGUGAAAUGCUUUGGUGAAUCACUUGGACAGUGCCCGAGGCUGCUAAUAGUUCGGUCACAUCCUAUUGUUACAUUAGCAGCCCUGGAAACGAAACAGCCUGAAACCUCUCCAGGAUAAAAAAAUGUAAUAAACUAAUUCAGUGCAGAUCUCCUAAAAGCAACCA